AUGACGGGGAGCGACACCUAUGAGCCGCAGUUGGCGGAGGGUGGCGCCAUCUAUGAGAAAAGGUUUAGCGUAGGUAUUGGGGGAGCGCCUGGAACAAAACGAAUUCCGGUAGUUCGCCAUUUGUGGACCCCAGGAGCCAGCCCGCCGAAAAUCCGGCGUCGGUCCGCUUAUGGGUAUGGGUGGGAUCAUUCCCAAGCAAGAUCUGCAACAAGCCAGACGUGUCAGCAAGGCGCUAAGCAGCAAAACCACGGGAGAAAAAACCAACAAUAUUCGAAGAUCCCGCCGGCAGUUGUGACAAUUAAUUUUGGGGACGCUCAAAGGCUCCCAAUUGUCCACCGGCGUCAGUAAACCGAGUGUAGAGGUGGAAGUGGUGGCUCGAGGAAAACCCAGGGCAGGCCGAGCAAAAGUCCGAGUGGACUAUUCCGUGUCCACUAUUAAAGAACUCCAGGUGGCUCAACUAAGGAAGUCCAACCAAAGGCGGACGGAGGAGCACCGAGGAAGGAGAAGAAAUCCCGGCCUAAAAUAGGCUAACCGCAGCAAGUUCGCUUCGAACCGAAGCUAGGUUCGAGCGAACGGAGGAGCGCAGAGGAGGCGCUAACCGCAGUGUAGCGCGAUCUUCAAGAACGGGAGGGAGGAAAACAUCGGAGGUGUCCCAGUAAAAGGUCCAGGCUGAAUGGAUAUUCCAGCUUUGGAUCCGGUCCGUAGUGUCCCUGGCCAGUGAUUGCAAGGAGCCAUAUUAGAGAAGCAGUGUAAACCCAAAGUGAAAUGGAUAAGAUUUAAGCAAGAAAAAAAA
rnacentral:sRNA from 1 species